rnacentral:rRNA from 1 species
UACGUAGGAGGCGAGCGUUGUCCGGAAUUAUUGGGUUUAAAGGGUGCGUAGGCGGAUAUGUAAGUCAGCGGUGAAACUCACAGGCUCAACCUGUGCCGUGCCGUUGAAACUGUGUAUCUGGAAUGCGGAUGCUGUGGGAGGAAUGUGUAGUGUAGCGGUGAAAUGCAUAGAUAUUACACAGAACACCGAUUGCGAAGGCAUCUCACAAAGCCGUUAUUGACGCUGAGGCACGAAAGUGUGGGGAUCAAACAGGA